AUACGGAGGGUGCAAGCGUUACGCGGAAUCACUGGGCGUAAAGCGCGCGCAGGCGGCUUGAUAAGUUGGAUGUGAAAGCCUACGGCUCAACCGUAGAACUGCAUCCAAAACUGUCAGGCUAGAGUGUGGGAGAGGAAGAUGGAAUUAGUUGUGUAGGGGUAAAAUCCGUAGAGAUAACUAGGAAUACCAAAAGCGAAGGCAAUCUUCUGGAACACUACUGACGCUGAGGCGCGAAGGCGUGGGGAGCAAACAGGAUUAGAAACCCCAGUAGUCC
rnacentral:rRNA from 1 species